GACGAACGCUGGCGGCGUGCUUAACACAUGCAAGUCGAACGGAAAGGCCCUGCUUUUGUGGGGUGCUCGAGUGGCGAACGGGUGAGUAACACGUGAGUAGCCUGCCCUUGACUUUGGGAUAACUUCAGGAAACUGGGGCUAAUACCGGAUAGGAGCUCCUGCUGCAUGGUGGGGGUUGAAAAGUUUCGGCGGUUGGGGAUGGACUCGCGGCUUAUCAGCUUGUUGGUGGGGUAGUGGCUUACCAAGGCUUUGACGGGUAGCCGGCCUGAGAGGGUGACCGGCCACAUUGGGACUGAGAUACGGCCCAGACUCCUACGGGAGGCAGCAGUGGGGAAUAUUGCACAAUGGGCGGAAGCCUGAUGCAGCAACGCCGCGUGCGGGAUGACGGCCUUCGGGUUGUAAACCGCUUUCGCCUGUGACGAAGCGUGAGUGACGGUAAUGGGUAAAGAAGCACCGGCUAACUACGUG
rnacentral:rRNA from 1 species